rnacentral:rRNA from 1 species
GACGAACCGUGCGAACGUUAUUCGGAAUCACUGGGCUUAAAGCGCGUGUAGGCGGGCCGGCACGUCCGACGCUGAAAUCCCCCGGCUCAACCGGGGAACGGGCUCGGAUACGACCGGCCUCGAGGGACGUAGGGGGACCUGGAACUUCCGGUGGAGCGGUGAAAUGCGUUGAGAUCGGAAGGAACGCCCGUGACGAAAGCGAGGUCCUGGACGUUUUCUGACGCUGAGACGCGAAAGCCAGGGGAGCGAACGGG